GGAUAGAUGGUCUUUUGUUUGGGUGUGUUUGGGUUUCUGAGUUACCGUACCUUAUUCCCUUUAUGGAUUAUCUUGCACUGCUCAAGCUUGUGAUCUUGCCAGGGUUUGUGGACUUUAGUGUUUGGUAGUUUUUUUUUUUUUUUUAAUUAAUACUUCAUAGAAAAAAAAGAAUUAAUCAUUUUCCAUCAUCUUAGCUCAUCGAAAAAAUAACUAAAAUGUACAAAAAAAUAUUUAUUAUAUUAAUUAUUUUUUUAAUUAUUAUAUUUUUAAUUAAUAAAAUAGAGAGUAUUAAAUAAUCAAUUUUUUUGUACCUGGUAUUAGUAUUUUUUUAGUUUAAUAGAAUAUGUAAAAAAUUAUAGAGUAAUUUCUUAAAUUAAUUUAUUUUCAAUUGAAAACAAUUACAUGUUGUAUAUUUGAAUAAUUAUAUUAAAGAAUUUAUAAUUAUAUAUGAUCUAGAAAUAUAAGGAAUGCAAAUAAAAAAAAAUUGCUCAUAUGAUUAAUUUUUACAACCGUAUUUGUCAUUUUCUUUAAUUAAAAAAAAAACCUACCAUAUUUGGCAUAUAAUAAUAAUAAUAAAAAUAAUAACAACAGUCAGUAGCAAUCUCUUUAUUGUUGUUGUUAUUGAAAUUUGCGUUCACAUUGUUGGCAUGUUUCUUGGCUUCUUGAUACAGAAACACCUAAUUUUAAAACUUUGGUCGUAUCGCCAAAUGGAAAUGGCAAUGGCAAAAUUAUAAACAAAAUAGAUUGCUCUAAUAAUCCAAUUUCCUGAAAACCCUACUCUCUUUUUUUCCCCUCCCAUUUUGGUGUUAUUCUGGAUGGGUGAAUUUUGUAUGUAAAAGUGAUUGAUUCUCAAUGAAAUCGCCCAUAUUUUGCUUGGCAGACCCAUUUUCAAUGAACUGAUUCUCUGACAAAUUUUCCCUUGGAAUUGGAUUCUGGGUGCUUUUCUUUUAACAAAUUCUAAAUGGGAAAUCGUUAUUGUUGUUAUUAUCACUUAUCCUCAAAGAAGAGAAAAACGUAUACAAGUGUGUACAAAGUCAAUUCCAGGCAGAAAUGGUCAUUCAAGUACUUACUGGUCAUAAUCCAAUAAGAAAUAAGAGAUAUUAGUAGUCAACAAUACAAAUUAAACAUCGCAGAAAAUUGGAAGCAGGAAUCAGAUUUUAACACUUUAAAGUAUGAUGAUGAUGAUAACACACAAAAGCUGAUAACAAUGGCCACAUAGAGACAGCAACGGAAAGUUGCAAUCCAUUCCCUUCAGAAAAUCAGAUAACAUUUAUCGGACGGUUCUAGUUCAGUUCUGAGUAAACAACCCGAAUUGAACCAAAAUAUUAGAAUAAGAUUAAUUUGGGACGGUUCUUGAAGAACCGUGCACGCUCCUACAAACUGCAAAUGAAUGGAAAGCAACUUUCAAACAUCACCCUCAACUAGAGUUAUAGCAAAAAUAACAAGCUGAGCUUCCUGUUUUCUUCUUCAAACACAAGACAUUGCACUUCAUGAAAAUAGUAAUAAUAAUAGCAAAAUUGCCUUGCUAAUUAUUCAUGCAAUGUAAAUAUCCAAACCAAAGCCACUAUAGCAGCAUAAGAAUUUCAUACUUAAAAAUCAUGAAGAUCUAAUAACUAACAAUUCAAAGAAGUUGUAAGAAUAAAUUUCUGUACAGAAAUUUUGUCAAGUGCUGACCACAAUUUAAUUACAAGAGAAUAUCGUGCUCCGAAAUGCAUGUGCUGAGAACCACAAUGGCAAUGCAGAUUUGUUCUUCACAGAAUACAUCUCUUUCCACACUCUACUCCUCCGAUGAUAUACCAAAACCUGCUUAUGAGUUGCCAUGAAAACACAUUCACCGGUCUGGCUUAUUGGGAAAAUACCAGGCACCAUUCCACGAAUACAUCUCAGGCUCACUCUUUCCACCUCAUGCCAUCGUUCACUCUCAUAGUCCUUCAUCACCCAUAUUUUCAUCCAUGCCUCUGAAAUCUGUAUUACAGAUAAACACCCAUCUGACUCCAACAAAUACACCCUAUUCCCAGCACCAUAACUCACUUCCUCUGGCAAUGAAAUCUUCCUCCAAACAUCACAGCCCAUAUCAAGCGCAAGUAUACAUGAAAAACUACCAGUUAACCAAUGGAGUGCACCAUUGACAAACACAACCUGGUUCCUAUUCAUAUGGGUAAAAUGAUCAUCUUGAAAAGAAACAAACUUCCUCCAUUUAUUCAAAUCUGAAUCAAAUACCAAGCAUAUAAAUGUCCCAUCUGGCCUAUGACCAAAUGUUCGAUGAUAACCCGCUAAGACAACAUUAUACUUCUGCAUUGAUAAAUUGCAAGCCAAACCAACUAGAGUGGCCUCACCAUCAGGAUAAAACCUAGUCACAUGCCUUUCUCUACUCCUAGGAAGCAACUUAAAUUCCCUAGUCAUUGGAUUGCAAACAUAAUAAACACCCUUAUCAGGGAUACUAGAGCAGCAUAAAAUGCCAUUACACGAGGCCCUAACUUUCACUCUGUCUUUCAAGAAAUCUAAGGAGAAUUCAGAAACACCCCUUAAAUUAUCAAUACAAAUAAGGCUAGAUUUUAACUCAGAAGAAUCUGAAAUCUCUACCAAUACCACAGGGUUCUUAGCAGCUAUUUCAUUGUAGAGUUGGAUAAAAUAAUUAUCUGAUGAUAUUCUGUACCAGAGUUUACAUACGGUUUUAGCUCUAAACAGUGACUUAACAGGCAAUCUUGCAAGUAUUUGAAGAAUAACUUCAUCAGGGAAAAUCCCAUCUGUUGAAUUCAUAAUUAAUUCAAGAAAUAUAAAAAGAAAGAAAAGAGAAAACCUCAAUUACCCAGAUAUUGGAAUGCAGAAAGGGCAUCGGAUUUUCUUACCGGAGACAAAUUUCAAGAUUGAGUAAUGGAAGAAGGUGAAUUUCAUUGAUCCAUUUGAGAUAAUGAAAAAAAUAAUCUAAUAUUUUGAACCCAAAAACAAAAAAUCAAACAGGGGAAAAGGCAAUAUGAAGAUAGGAUUAAGUUGAAAGGAAAUUGGAGAUGGUGAGAGAAGGGAUUACACGAAGAAUGAAACGAGGAAGAGAAAGGGGGAAAAAGGGGCGAGAUGCGGAGAUGUGUACACAUAAGAUACCCCCUUGGGAUUACGUUAAUGACCAAUUAAGGGUAAUUUUGAUCUAUGGUGACUCACCUUAAAUGUUUAUUUUGUAUUUUAUUAUUCAAUUUUAAUUUAUUUUAAUAAAUUUUAUUUCAAAUGAAACCACACUGACUUGCUAAAGCAAAUUUUCAGAUUAAUACCUCCUAUUUAUCACUCAACUUUUAUCACAUAAGAAUUUAAAAAUUAUAAUUAAUUAAAAUUAAAGAGGUAAUUAUUAACAUAUUUAUUAAAAGAAUUUAAAUAAUUAACUAGAAAAUAAUAAAAAUAUAUUAUUUUAAUAUAAUCAUUUUGAAAAUGUCAUCUUAUAUUUUAUCAAUUUUAAUUUAAUACAUUUAUUAAUAAUUUAGUUACUAUUUUUUAUUUUUUAUUUAUUUUGUUAUUCUUUAAAUUUUUAUUAAAUUAAUUAAUGCAAAUUAAACUUAAAUAAAAAUUAAUUUUAAGACUUUAAUUUUUUUCUAAUUAUUAAGGAGUUACUUUUUGUUUUAGAAAAUAAUUAAUAAUGAAAAUAUAACUUUUCAUUAUUUAAAUUAGUGAUAAUUUUUUUUGUUUUAGAAAAUAAUAAUUUUUAAUUAGAAUUAAAAUAAAAAAAAUUCUAUCUAAGCUGCAAUUAAAUAGUAGCUUUAAAAAAUAAGUAUUAUUUAUAAAAUUUAACCGUCAAUAGUGAAAAUUUUUAUUUAUUUUUUUAUCAAAUAUUUAAUCAUGUAUUUUUUAAAUUAAUUAAGUUUUACAUUUUAUAUUUUUAUAAUUAAUUUUUACUAUUAUCUAUUUAAUUAUUAAAAAAAAAUCUAAAUAAACGGGUUAAUACUUAAUUCCUUAACUACAACUAAUUACAAAUUUUUAAAAUUUUUAUUUUAUACCAUGAAAAGUUUUUUAAAAUUCUAAAUUCAAAUACGUAUAAUCAAAUUAAAUAGUAAAUAUAUAAUAUAAAUUAUUAUAAAUUUUAAUAAUAAUUUUAUUGAAAUAAAAUAAAAAGGAAGAGAGAAUAUGCAAAGGGGUUGUUAAUCUGUUAUAAGAUGUUGGAGUAAUAUAUUUAAAAAUAAAAGUAAAAUUGAGUGAUUUUAUUGAAAUAAAUUAAAGUUAAAUAAUAGAAUGAAAUGUUAAAUGACUUGGAUCAAAAUUACCCAACCAAUUUGGGCUUGGGCUUCCAGUUGUACGUUUCUGAAGGGCCAGAAAUGAGGAGAGGGACAUGACAUGGACAACUUGCUUAUGAAAUGGGCUUAAAAUUUGCGGCAACUUCCGUAAGCUUAUUCGAUACGAUUCUUCUACGUGCUUUGGAAUCAUCGUACUGAUAUUUAUUAUAAAUUUAUAUUAAGCAUUAGCAAUAUGGGAUAAAAAAAAAACAUAUAAUAUUGAUAUAAAAAUGUUGCAAUAUAUACAUUUUUUUUUUGAAAGCAAAAAUAAUCAUAUAUAAUAAACUUGAACAUGUGAAAUAUUACACUUAGAGGAAUAAAUAUGAGUUUACAAAAACCAGAUGCAAAGUAAUCAAGUGAAUAUCGAGUGUAAGAAUGUAAACAUAAAAUGAAAACAUGAACAUGUGAAUCAACUAUGAAAACCAAUUCAAUGAGGUUAGUUUAUUCUUAAGUUGUGCAAUGUUGUUUCUUCAGUGACUAGUCUCCCUCUCCCAAAGGCCAAUCCAAAUUUUUUAUUACUAAUACUUCAAUUAUUUCAUGUUGUCAACUAUUUUCAGUUAAAUAUUCACAAAAACUAAUUAAUGAAGCAAGAAUUAUGUCAUUUUCAAAAAAUAUAUAUAUAUCGAGUUUUAAAUUUAGAAUUCACAACAUCACUAAACUUCUUUUUAUAAUUAAAAAUAUUCAACUCACAAGAAAAAAUUUCUUAAUUUAAUAAUAUUGGAUUCAUCAUAAAACUUGCAAAGAUAUCAAACUUAAGAUCAAUUAGAGACAAAAUAAAAAUAGAAAAGCAUGGGCGGCUCUUUGACAAACUGAGGCAAGAACCUUGGUUUUGUUCAACGGUAUGUAGUUUCUUCUUCUUUUUUUAAGUAAUUAUUAAAAGAGGUGCCUUUUAUUCUUUAACAAUUUCAUUUGUAUUCAUUUUGUUAACUUUUUUAUUUCCAUUAUCAAAUAAAUUAUUACAAAGUAAAAUUUACCCACUAAAACAAAAGGGGAAAAAACAGAACUAAACUUUAGUUAAACAAAUUGUGUUUUUGCUUCAAACUCAAUCAAAUAUUAGGUUUCAAAUCAUUACAAGCUCAUCAAUGAAUUGAUUUCCUUUUCAUGCAGAAUAAAUUGCAUACCUUUGAGACACUUUCGUAAAUAUAGUACAAAAAGCACUGAUGAAAUUCUGUUUGGGGUGAGAGCCUACAAUAAGAUCAUGCAGAUGUUUUGACCAAUAGCAAAACAAGAGAUACUCCCAACUAAUACAUGUUUUUAAGCUAUAAUAAUCUCUCUAAUCCAAGCAGUCGUUGCUUUGCAGCAACUUGCAAUAUAUUACUAACCUAAUUAUUCACAUAAUGACGUCAGAGCUAUCUCCAGAACAGUUGGCGUGGAAUCCGGCCACCGGGUUUCUGAUGGUAAGGAAAAGAAAUGGUCUAUAUAUAUAUAUAUGGAGGCAGAACACCAAAUAACACUACAAACUAGCAUCCUGUUAAGACAGCAACUUAGUGUCACCUUCAUUAGUUGCUGAGAGGUGAAAGCUCCUUCCAGCAAUUCUUUCAUUUUGGAUUUGACCUAUGCAUUCAGUUAUCACAACUUCCAACUGGAUACCCAAUAGAGAAAAACGAAAAGAAAAGGAGAGAAAAUGGUAAAAGUGAUGCAUUUAACAAGUGUUGGUGGAAAAUAAAUAAAACGUACAACCAGGGAUGACACUAGCCAGGGCAGUAGCUAGUUUAGAGCAACAAGGGAAUUUUUAAUACAAAUAAGAGAGUAUGUUUAAUCAAAAUGCAUAAAUUAGAAAGACUGACACUUGGUAAUCUGCAAAGAAAUUUAUGGCACUUCCUACAUUUAUGAGGAAUCCAAUAAGCCAUAUUAUUGAUUACCCCUAGAAGCCUACUGUUAGACCCUUGAGCCGGUAGGCUUGAGUUGGGUGAAGUUGGGCCUUGAUUUCACCACAACUUGGGAGUGUGCAGGGGUGCACAUGAUUGGCACGGCUAUAUUGCUUGGGCAGGCGAGAGUACUGCUGGAUGCGAGUGUGCAGGGGCGCGCUUGAUUGGCAAGGCUGUGUACUUCGGCAGGCGAGAGUACUGCUGGAUGCGAGUGUGCAGGGGCAUGCUUGAUUGGCAAGGCUGUGUGCUUGGGCAGACUGGAAGACUGCUGAGUGCAAGGGCUGGACUUCGGGUGUCGGUUCGGUCCAUCAUGUGAGGAUGCUGCUACAGUCGGGAUUGGAAGUUGCUGAAUGCAAAGGAGUGGCCUACAAACGUGGGGAAGUGAUGCUAGAGUGGGGCAUGUUCUCCCAUGAUGAGUAGUGGCCAUGUUCUCCCAUGAGGGAUAGUGGGUAGUUAUAACUCCCAUAAUGGGAAGUGGGUAGUUAUAACUCCCAUGAUCAUUAGUGGGCGGUUAUAUAACUUCCAUGAUGAGUAGUGGGCAGUUAUAUAACUUCCAUGAUGAGUAGUGGGCGGAUUUUACUCCUUAGUGGUUGGGGGUGUCAACCACAACUUCUUGUAAACUGUUGCUGUAUCCUAUAUAUACUCAUACACAUGUAAAGGUGGGGAGGAACCCCGAGAGAGGGGACCCCAUUAGCUAGGGAGAGAGCUAAAGUGAGAGCACUGCUAGAACACUUUGGGAAGAGUUCUGUGAGAGGUGUCUCUUGUAUUGUUUCCUUUUAGUGAAUGAAAGGUUGGGAAAGUUAUUUCCUGUAAAUACUGUUGUCUUGCACUUUGUUGGUUGAGAUUUUGUGCCUUUCGAACCUCACUUUGUGAGAUUGUGUGGCUGAGCCAAGUGGGAUUUCUUUGUUGCCUAGCAGGUUUCUGAGUGAUUGUUCCGCUGCGUGUGUUUCGACUU
rnacentral:lncRNA from 1 species